CUCUAAAUUCACAAGUACAAAUGUUGUAUAUCGGUUCUGAUGUUUUGAAUCAAAACAAACUAAACCGUGUUUUCGGUUGUCGACUAGGCGCCGUAAAUAGCAGCAGAAAUUGGAUGCAAAAAACUGGAAGGGAUACCAGUCCACUCGGUUUACAUUCAAGAAUCAUGCAGCAUGCUCUCAAACUAGAGAUGCAAUUACCGUCCGUUGUGUCUAAUACUUCUUCAGGAGAAGGAUAUCUGUUUUAAGUUUCUAUACAACAUUGGACUAAAUGGGAAAAAGUGACUUCUGAUGAUAAUCAAAUGCAACAAAGUUCCAAAGUUGUCUUCUAAAUAGAUCACUACAUUAUAUGAGUUAUGAAGAAUAACCCAUUCAUUAGUCAUACAAGUUCAGUUCAAUUUAUUUAGAGCAAAAGGAGUCUGAGCAGAGAUGACAGAGACUUCUAUCAAGAUAAAUGAAACACAUUUACUGAGUAAUCCAUGUAAUAAAGAUGUUGGCACUAAAACAAAUUUCCAAAGUCAGAUUUGCUCGAAUGAGAAAAUAUUCAUAUGUGAUGUAUGUGGUAAAAAAUUUUCUAAAAAACAUAAUCUAACUGGUCAUUAUCGAACUCAUACAAAAGAAAAACCUUUUUCUUGUGAUGUAUGCGAGAGGCAAUUUUCUCAUAAAAAUAAUUUAACUCAACAUUAUCUAACUCAUACAAAUGAAAAACCCUACUCUUGCGAGGUAUGCAGCAAACGGUUUAAUCAGAAUGGACUUUUAAAGAGGCAUAUUCGUAUUCAUACAAAUGAAAAACCUUAUUGCUGCAUUAUAUGCAAGAAACAAUUUUCAGACAAAGGUCAUUUAAAUAGACAUUAUCUUCACCAUACAAAUGAAAAACCAUAUUCAUGUGAUGUAUGCAAUAAAAAGUUUUCCCAAAGAAGUGGUUUAAAUAAACAUUUUCUUUCCCAUACAGAUAAAAGCUCCUGUUCUUGUGACGAAUGUGGUAAAGAAUUUCCUAACAGUAGUAGUUUAAUUUACCAUUCUCGAACUCAUACAAAAGAAAAACCGUUUUCUUGUAAUGUAUGCAAUAAAGAAUUUUCUCAUAAAAGUAAUUUAAAUCAACAUUGUCGAAUUCAUACAAAUGAAAAACCUUAUUCUUGUAAUGUAUGUGGUAAAAAUUUUAGUCAGAAUUCUACUUUAAAACAACAUUUUAUGGCUCAUACAAAGCAAAAACCUUUUAGUUGUGAAACUUGUGGUAAAUCAUUUACAAGAAAUAGCGGCCUGAAUAGACAUUUUCGUAGCCAUACCAAUUAAUAAAAACACUUUGUGUAUAUUAUAUAUAUUAAACCUAUAUACAUUGUAUAUAUUGAACCGUUUAUUGUAAUGUAUGUAAUAAACGACUUUCACACAAACGUAAUUUAAAUCAACAUUGUCGAAUUCACGCAGAUGAAAAACCCUAUUCAUGUAAUGUAUGUGGUAAAAUUUUUUUUUCAGAAUUCUACUUUAAAACAACAUUUUAUGGCUCACACAAAGCGGAAACCUUUUAGUUGUGAAACUUGUGGUAAAUCAUUUACUAGAAAAUGAUCUGAGUAGACAUUUUCUUAGUCAUACCAAUUAAAAAAACAUUUUGUAUGUAUUGUAUAUAUUGAAAUCUCUUUUAUAAAAGCAAUUAAUUGAAGAUUAUCAACUUGUACAGAUGAGAUGAUGAUUUCAUACAAAUAUAAUUUGUAUAAAACUUUGCUUAAAAAUCUUAUUAUAACGCUUGUAUUAUUGUAGCGAAGGUUUACAAAUUUCAAUCUCAAUAUUACAUUCAAAAAUCGAUUUUUAAAUGUACUUUUAACUUUUGUAUUUUAACAGAUUGUUGCAUAUCAUUAUGACCAUCUCUAAUCUUUGGAUCGUUACCUCAUUUUUAAUCAAUGAAUGUUUGUGUACCUUUCCGUUGUACUAAAUUCUAUUCCAUUGUCUGAAUAGACAUUUUCGUAGCCAUACCAAUUAAAAAAAAAACCACUUUGUGUAUAUUGUAUAUAUUAAAGCGUAUAUAUAUUGUAUAUAACGAACCGUUUCUUGUAAUGUAUGUAAUUUGAGGAGUAUGUAACUCUUUAAUUUGAUGCUGAAUUGUUGCAGCCAUGUCUCAUUUAAGGUAUCCAACUAGAUUAAAACAGGAAAUUGGAUGAAAAUUUGUAAUUUUAUUUUAUUUAUUUAUUUGGUGUUUCAAAAAAUAGGCACGUUUGUGUUUUCAGUGAUAUCUUUAUUUGGUUUCUAUGUCAAUUAGACAUAGAAACCAAAGUUAUUGCAAGCCAAGUUAUUGCAAAUUAUUGAGUGUAAGUUAUGCUUAUUUAUUAGCAUUUAAAACUUUAAAUGCAUUAAAUCUUAAGAUUUUGUUUUCCUUCAAAGUUUAUUUGAUUUUUAUUACUAUCCAGACUUGUCAAUUACCAGAAAAUAUUCUUUACAUUAUGCGAAGAACAUACUACCAUCCCUUCUUCUUGUACCUUUGUUUGAAAAAUUGUUCUUAGAUGGGUAUCAGUUAGCACGUAAAAAAUAUUUGUCAUAUUUGAAUUAAAUUAAUAUCUACCAACAGCCUCAGCAUUGGGCUGUGACGUCAGUAUAAGUAGCCGUAUCUUUCUGUUUCCCCUUGCUUCACGGACACAGUACUAUAAAAGGGAAAUUUUUCGAGAUAUUUUCUGAAUAAUGUUUCACAUUUUUCUUCAGAUAUUUUUUAUGAAUUUAUUAAUUUGAAAACAUGCGAUUAAUUAGCAUAAACUACUGGAGUUACGUUUCUCCAGUAGUUUAUGCUAACUACUGGAGAAAUUACUGUACUAAUUCUGACAAAAGUAUUUGUAAAU